rnacentral:rRNA from 1 species
UACGUAGGGUGCAAGCGUUAUCCGGAAUUAUUGGGCGUAAAGAGCUCGUAGGCGGUUUGUCACGUCUGCUGUGAAAACUGGAGGCUCAACCUCCAGCCUGCAGUGGGUACGGGCAGACUAGAGUGCGGUAGGGGAGACUGGAAUUCCUGGUGUAGCGGUGAAAUGCGCAGAUAUCAGGAGGAACACCGAUGGCGAAGGCAGGUCUCUGGGCCACUACUGACGCUGGAGGAGCGAAAGCGUGGGGAGCGAACAGG